CCUACGGGUGGCUGCAGUCGAGAAUCAUUCACAAUGGGGGAAACCCUGAUGGUGCGACGCCGCGUGGGGGAAUGAAGGUCUUCGGAUUGUAAACCCCUGUCAUGUGGGAGCAAAUUAAAAAGAUAGUACCACAAGAGGAAGAGACGGCUAACUCUGUGCCAGCAGCCGCGGUAAUACAGAGGUCUCAAGCGUUGUUCGGAACCACUGGGCGUAAGGCGUGCGUGGGCGGUUUCGUAAGUCGUGUGUGAAAGGCGCGGGCUCAACCCGCGGACGGCACAUGAUACUGCGAGACUAGAGUAAUGGAGGGGGAACCGGAAUUCUCGGUGUAGCAGUGAAAUGCGUAGAUAUCGAGAGGAACACUCGUGGCGAAGGCGGGUUCCUGGACAUUAACUGACGCUGAGGCACGAAGGCCAGGGGAGCGAAAGGGAUUAGAUACCCGGGUAGUC
rnacentral:rRNA from 1 species